CGGGGCUCGGCGGCAGCUGAGCUGAACCGUGACGAACGAAGCCCUCAGCCCUGCCAGUUUCUGGGGCCCCUCAGAGGGGAGAAGAGAAGGAAAGCUUCUCAUUAGAAAGAAAACAUUACUGUCUGAUCUGUAGUUGCAAGAAAAAAGGGGUGAAAAGAAAAAGGAAAUCUGUCUUGGAGAAAUUGGAAGUGCUUUGAAUUUGCAAAGGGAUUUAGUGCCAGCUGCUACAGAAGGUUUUACAAAGCCACCUUUGGCACCGAAAUGGAUGAAAUGCUUC